UACAGAGGUCCCGAGCGUUGUUCGGAUUCAUUGGGCGUAAAGGGUGCGCAGGUGGGUUGGCAAGUUUGAUGUGAAAGCCCCGGGCUUAACCCGGGAAAGGCAUUGAAUACUGCUGAUCUGGAGGAUCGGAGGGGGGACUGGAAUUCUUGGUGUAGCAGUGAAAUGCGUAGAUAUCAAGAGGAACACCAGUGGCGAAGGCGAGUCCCUGGACGAUACCUGACACUGAGGCACGAAAGCCAAGGGAGCAAACAGG
rnacentral:rRNA from 1 species